GGGACAUUCUCCUCAGUUCUGGGGCUGGUCCUCAGCAUCUGAGACGCAAAACCCCAGAAGGAUGCACUUUGAGAGUGUGCCUACAUGGACUAAGAUAAAAGACUGAUGAUGUGCUCGUUCCUUUACUCCCAGGUCAACAAAGUUUAGGGUGAACCAUAUGAAUGAUUUUGUGGACAAAAGACCUAUUUUUCAGAUAUUGGAAUCUCCCAUCUAAUACUAUUCUUGAGCCCCUCCCAUGUCCCCUGCCUGUUUCAGGUGCUGGACUCAGAAGGUGAAAGUGACAGCCCAGGUCCCUGACACUGGGCAUGUCAUUCAGUGCACGACCUAUAGCCUGGGUGGUGCACACAGUGACCUGGUGUUGAGUCUGAUAUUCACGGUGGAACGGCUGCCCCUUUUCCAGUCCUCAGGCCUUGGGACAACACCACCAGAACGGCCCAUUCAAGUUCAAGGGCCAUCCAUCACCUGCACGAGCGACUACAGUGGAAAGAAACCGUCCUGGAGGAGGCUGUGAAACAUGUGAGUCAGUCAGUCUGGAAUUUAAAUAUUGCAAACCAACCACAAUGUGGUUAAUCCUUAGCCCGGCCGCCUUUCAAGGGAGCAAAAUAGAAUUUAGUGAAGCGGAAAAGACAGUUUACGAAAUUGAUAACUGUCACCUUGAGGAAUUUCCUAAGCACGGCCCCCAAGUCCAGCCCAAAUCCGGCCCUCGGAGCUCUUUACAGGUUGCUCGCUAAUUCUCCAGAGUCCGCAAUGUUGGAAGGAGGAGAGCUGUCACGGCAGGUCAGCAUGGGACGCUGAUGGACGGAAGGGCCUCGGAGGCCCCGGGUGCAUCAGGAAUUGCAUCAGGAAGGGAGGAGGCCAGAGGACCCAGGGACAGGAGCAGGCGGCACGCCUACGGAGAAGAGUUAACUGGGCGGAGCGGGGAAGGAGCAACUCUGGACGGGGCCAGUCCAGGCCUGGCCACUGGAGAUGGGCCUUGAAUCCCUGAAUCUCCGACCCCAACCAUGCGUCCCUGCAUCCAGCCCAACCCCGAUCAGAGAGGGCAAGGCGCAAAAAAUGUCCCCUGAGUGACGGAGCUUGAUUAGUUAGUUACAGAUUUGGAAGCACCUCAUACGGCACAAAAUUAGAAUAUUUCUGAAUAACGUUUUUGAAACCGUGAGGGUCCCAGGCACUGAAGAGUCCUUUGGGCCGUCAAGAGCAACAGCACGGUGAAAAACGUGACUGCUGGAAACUUUUCCUCAAAAGUCCAAUCGCUGGGAAGACUCCGGGCGUGACACAAAUUUAUGUGUCCAUCUCUGGCCAGGGGCGCCCAGAGAUUCAGCUAAACAAGAUCCUGGGUAUGUCCAUGAGGGUGUUUCUGGGUGAGAUUAGCAUUUGGCCUUGCAGACGGAGUAAAGCCCUCCCCAGUGUCGGUGGGCAUCUUCAGACCCACUGAGGCCUGAAUGGAACCGAAGGGCUGAGGAGGGAGAAUUCGCUCUGUGCCCGACUGUCUUCGAGCUGGGACGUCGGCCUUCUCCUCCCUUUGGACUCGGACUGGGACUUGGGCCAGCUGCACUCCUGGGUCUCCAGCCUGCAAAGAGCAGACCGCAGGACUUCUCAGCCUCCAGGACCAAGUGAGCCAGUUCCUUAAAUUAAACCGUAUUUGUAUGCUGCACUUCUCUGGGAAACCCAGACUAGCACACUCAUGUUCAUCACGCAAGGCAGGAAUCAAAUCACACUUGUAAGAUGACACUGGUUUUGACAAUUUCAUAGACAUAAAUACCUACAUACACGUGCAUUGAACAGUUUGGGAAGAAAUUCAGCAAAAAAUUCUGGUGGUUGAAAUUGAGUUGUGAGACUAUAAAGAAUUUUUUGCUUUUUAUACUUUUCUCUGUUUUUCCUGUAUACUACAACAUGUGUAAUUUACUUUCACCAG
rnacentral:lncRNA from 1 species